AUACGUAGGUGGCAAGCGUUGUCCGGAAUUAUUGGGCGUAAAGCGCGCGCAGGCGGUCCUUUAAGUCUGAUGUGAAAGCCCACGGCUCAACCGUGGAGGGGCAUUGGAAACUGGAGGACUUGAGUGCAGAAGAGGAAAGUGGAAUUCCAAGUGGAGCGGUGAAAUGCGUAGAGAUUUGGAGGAACACCAGUGGCGAAGGCGACUUUCUGGUCUGUAACUGACGCUGAGGCGCGAAAGCGUGGGGAGCAAACAGGAUUAGAUACCCUGGUAGUCCACGCCGUAAACGAUGAGUGCUAAGUGUUAGGGGGUUUCCGCCCCUUAGUGCUGCAGCUAACGCAUUAAGCACUCCGCCUGGGGAGUACGGUCGCAAGACUGAAACUCAAAUGAAUUGGCGGGG
rnacentral:rRNA from 1 species